rnacentral:rRNA from 1 species
GAACUGAAGAGUUUGAUCAUGGCUCAGAUUGAACGCUGGCGGCAGGCCUAACACAUGCAAGUCGAGCGGAUGAAGGGAGCUUGCUCCUGGAUUCAGCGGCGGACGGGUGAGUAAUGCCUAGGAAUCUGCCUGGUAGUGGGGGAUAACGUCCGGAAACGGGCGCUAAUACCGCAUACGUCCUGAGGGAGAAAGUGGGGGAUCUUCGGACCUCACGCUAUCAGAUGAGCCUAGGUCGGAUUAGCUAGUUGGUGGGGUAAAGGCCUACCAAGGCGACGAUCCGUAACUGGUCUGAGAGGAUGAUAUGAUCAGUCACACUGGAACUGAGACACGGUCCA